rnacentral:rRNA from 1 species
CAGUCGCCGCGGGAAUACGUAGGUGGCAAGCGUUGUCCGGAAUUAUUGGGCGUAAAGGGCUCGCAGGCGGUUUCUUAAGUCUGAUGUGAAAGCCCCCGGCUCAACCGGGGAGGGUCAUUGGAAACUGGGAAACUUGAGUGCAGAAGAGGAGAGUGGAAUUCCACGUGUAGCGGUGAAAUGCGUAGAGAUGUGGAGGAACACCAAUGGCGAAGGCGACUCUCUGGUCUGUAACUGACGCUGAGGAGCGAAAGCGUGGGGAGCGAACAGGAUUAGAUACCCCCGUAGUCCCUGUCUCUUAUAC